UACGUAGGGUGCAGGCGUUAAUCGGAAUUACUGGGCGUAAAGCGUGUGUAGGCGGCCAGACAAGUCGGAUGUGAAAGCCCUGGGCUCAACCCAGGAAGUGCACUCGAUACUGUCUGGCUUGAGUAUCGGAGAGGUUGGUGGAAUUCUCGGUGUAGAGGUGAAAUUCGUAGAUAUCGAGAGGAACACCGGUGGCGAAGGCGGCCAACUGGACGAAUACUGACGCUGAGACACGAAAGCGUGGGGAGCAAACAGG
rnacentral:rRNA from 1 species